rnacentral:rRNA from 1 species
CUAAGAUAGUAAGAGCAUACGGUGGAUGCCUUGGCGAUAUCUGCCGAUGAAGGACGCGACAAGCUGCGAAAAGCUGCGGAGAGGUGCAAAUGACCAUUGACCCGCAGAUCUCCGAAUGGAGCAAUCCGGCAGGGUUUAUCCCCUGUCACCCAUAUCUUCGAAUAUGGGAGGGAACCGGGCGAACUGAAACAUCUAAGUAGCCCGAGGAAGAGUAAUCAAACGAGAUACCCCAAGUAGCGGCGAGCGAACGGGGCCUAAGCCCAAACCGGAGAAGGAAACUUUUCCGGGGUUGAGGACUGCCAUACGAACUAGCCCAUUAGCCGAAAUUCCUGGGAAGGAAUGCCGAAGAAUGUGAAAGCCAUGUAAGCGAAAAUGGAAAAGGGACAGGCAGCACCAGAGUACCGCGGGACACGAGAAACCCCGUGGGAAGCCGGGGGGACCACCCUCCAAGGCAAAACACAGAUAUCGACCGAUAGCGCAUAGUACCAUGAGGGAAAGGUGAAAAGCACCCCGGGAGGGGAAUGAAAGAGAACCUGAAACCGUAUGUUUACAAGCAGUCGAAGACCGCUUAAUAAUAAGGUCAACGGCGUGCCUAUUGAAGAAUGAACCGGCGAGUUAUGAGGUCCAGCAAGGUUAAGCAGGAAAUGCGGAGCCGAAGCGAAAGCGAGUCUUAAUAGGGCGACAAGUUGGAUUGCAUAGACCCGAAACCACAGUGAUCUACCCAUGUCCAGGCUGAAGCACAGGUAAAAAUGUGUGGAGGGCCGAACCUAUAUCCGUUGAAAAGGGUUAGGAUGAGGUGUGGGUAGGGGUGAAAUUCCAAUCGAACGUGGAGAUAGCUGGUUCUCCCCGAAAUAGCUUUAGGGCUAGCCUCGAGGUAGAGAUUGCAGGCGGUAGAGCACUGAUCAGGAGAGGGGCCUACCCGGCUACCAAACCCAGUCAAACUACGAAUGGCUGCAAUUAUACUCGGGAGUCAGACUACGACUUAUAAGGGCCGUGGUCAAAAGGGAAACAGCCCAGAUCAUCAGCUAAGGUCCCAAAUGCCGUGCUAAGUGGCGAAGGAUGUGGCGUUUCAUAAACAACCAGGAUGUUGGCUCAGAAGCAGCCACCAUUUAAAGAGUGCGUAAUAGCUCACUGGUCGAGAGACGCUGCGCCGAAAAUGUCCGGGGCUCAAGCACGGAACCGAAGCUAUGGCAUUGACUAUGUCAAUGGGUAGGGGAGCGUUCUUAACAGGAAGAAGCAUGACCGGAAGGACAUGUGGACCGUUAAGAAGUGAGAAUGCCGGUAUGAGUAUCGAAAAGAAAGGUGAGAAUCCUUUCCACCGAAAGCCCGAGGGUUCCUGAGCAACGAUCGUCGUCUCAGGGUAAGUCGGGACCUAAGCCGAGGCGGAGACGCAUAGGCGAUGGACAACAGGUUGAAAUUCCUGUACCGGAUACAAUCGUUUGAGCGAUGGAGCGACGCAGAAAGGCAUAUGAUCGCGCGACUGGAAGAGCGCGUCCAAGUGCGUAUGUUGAAUCGGAGGCAAAUCCCUGAUUCUGAAAGCAGAGACACGAUGGGGAGUUAUACGAAAGUAUGACGAACUCAUAGAUCCUACACUGCCAAGAAAAACUUCUAGUGAGAAAGUAUCCGCCCGUACCGUAAACCGACACAGGUAGGCGGGGAGAGAAUCCUAAGGUGCGCGGGAAAACCCUCGUUAAGGAACUCGGCAAAUUGCAUCCGUAACUUAGGGAGAAGGAUGACCUUAAGUAAGCGAAAGGGAGAAACCCCUGGAACAGAACAAGGUGGCAGAAAAGAGGCCCAAGCAACUGUUUACCAAAAACACAGGUGCCUGCGAAAGCGAAAGCUGAAGUAUAGGUGCUGACGCCUGCCCGGUGCUGGAAGGUUAAGGAGAGAUGUCAGAGCAAUCGAAGCAUUGAACUGAAGCCCCAGUGAACGGCGGCCGUAACUAUAACGGUCCUAAGGUAGCGAAAUUCCUUGUCGGGUAAGUUCCGACCCGCAUGAAAGGCGUAAUGAUUUGGGCACUGUCUCAACGAGGGGCCCGGUGAAAUUGAAAUACCUGUGAAGAUGCAGGUUACCCGCGACUGGACAGAAAGACCCCAUGGAGCUUCACUGCAGCUUGAGAUUGAAUCUCGGUGAUGCAUGCACAGGAUAGGUGGGAGACUUUGAAGUAUGGGCUUUGGCUUAUACCGAGUCGAUGUUGGGAUACCACCCUUGUAUUGCUGAGAUUCUAACACGGAGGCUAACAACCUCGUGGACCAUCUCAGGUAGGCGGUUUGACUGGGGCGGUCGCCUCCGAAAGAGUAACGGAGG